GAUGAACGCUAGCUACAGGCUUAACACAUGCAAGUCGAGGGACCGGCGCACGGGUGAGUAACACGUAUCCAACCUGCCCUUUACUCGGGGAUAGCCUUUCGAAAGAAAGAUUAAUACCCGAUAUAAAGGCUGGGGAUGCGUUCCAUUAGGUUGUUGUUGAGUUAACGGCUCACCAAGCCUUCGAUGGAUAGGUGUUCUGAGAGUAAGGUCCCCCAGAGUGGAACUGAGACACAGUCCAAACUCCUACGGGAGGCAGCAGUGAGGAAUAUUGGUCAAUGGGCGCUAGCCGGAACCAGCCAAGUAGCGGGAAGGAUGAAGGGUGAUGGGUCGUAAACUUCUUUUAUAGAAGAAUCUGUAUUAGAUCAAUAAGGAUCGGCUAACUCCGUGCCAGCAGCCGCGGUAAUGC
rnacentral:rRNA from 1 species